AACCUGAUGGUGUGGGCAUUUACGUAAAAGGUCCCUAAAACGCUCCCAGGUCUUAAAAAAUAAUUCCCCAUCCAAUUAUGAGAAACUAGUGAUGGUCUUCCUCGGCU